rnacentral:rRNA from 1 species
AUGGCAUUACCAAUCGUAGGCUUCACUGGUUCCUCCCACGGCAUCAGACGUGUCAUGCUGGAAUCUACGACAGCGAAGCACUCCUUGAAUGCCGAAGGAGCCACACUCCCUCUCCUUCACGACGGCCCAGUCCUGGUUCGACGCUCUGUGCCACCGCCUCGCCGCGUCCAUCCCGACUGUUAUCGCCUAGUGGACUACCGGCUCGUGCCCGAUUCCGCGUCCCGUCCGCUCAUUCCGACGGGAAGGCGUCUCUCCACUUCCAUUCGGCACUCGCCGGUGCCCAGCACCGCUGUUUUUGUGGCCGUGGAUAGCGCGGGCGACAACGUCGCUCACCACAUCGCCGCCCGCCUGCAACGCAACACGGCUGGGUUGGUCCUACUGCAGCCAUUCUUCGGUGGCGAGGCGCGGACCGCAUUGCGGGACCUAGAGGGUGACAUGUUGCAACCGCCAGGUCGAGCAGAGGAGCCGACAGCAUGGCCGCGCUCUCCGCCGCUCAUGGCCUCCGCAGUCACCGUCCCGCAGUCACCGUCCCGAGGCCUGUACCAUGCUUGCUACCCAGACUACUGCGAUGGAGACCUACAUCGAGAGGGAGGAGGGCCUUUUAUGUAG